rnacentral:rRNA from 1 species
GUGCCAGCAGCCGCGGUAAUACGUAGGACGCAAGCGUUAUCCGGAUUUAUUGGGUUUAAAGGGUGCGUAGGCGGACUUAUAAGUCAGUGGUGAAAGACUGUCGCUCAACGAUAGCAUUGCCAUUGAUACUGUAUGUCUUGAGUACAAUUGAGGUAGGCGGAAUGUGUAGUGUAGCGGUGAAAUGCUUAGAUAUUACACAGAACACCGAUUGCGAAGGCAGCUUACUAAAUUGUUACUGACGCUGAGGCACGAAAGCGUGGGGAUCAAACAGGAUUAGAAACCCGGGUAGUCC